rnacentral:rRNA from 1 species
UACGGGGGGAGCAAGCGUUGUUCGGAUUUACUGGGCGUAAAGGGCGCGUAGGCGGCGUGACAAGUCACUUGUGAAAUCUCCGGGCUUAACCCGGAGCGGCCAAGUGAUACUGUCGUGCUAGAGUGCGGAAGGGGCUACUGGAAUUCUCGGUGUAGCGGUGAAAUGCGUAGAUAUCGAGAGGAACACCUGCGGCGAAGGCGGGUAGCUGGGCCGACACUGACGCUGAUGCGCGAAAGCCAGGGGAGCGAACGGG